AGCUCCAAUAGCGUAUAUUAAAGUUGUUGCAGUUAAAAAGCUCGUAGUUGAACCUUGGGUCUGGGCUACCAGUCCGCCGUAAGGCGUGCACUGGAAACCCGGAUCUUUCCUUCUGGCUAACCUCAUGCCCUUUACUGGGUGUGCUGGGGAUCCAGGACUUUUACUUUGAAAAAAUUAGAGUGUUCAAAGCAGGCAUUUGCUCGAAUACAUUAGCAUGGAAUAAUAGAAUAGGACGUGCGGUUCUAUUU
rnacentral:rRNA from 1 species